AUAUGAAGCUUCAUAAUUAAGCAUGCCACGGCAUUCGCAUUCCGUUCUUCCAUUUUCGUCCUGGGAGAGCAUAACAGCUAAGACUAAUCAGGUAAGACCAGGUAACACGGUUGGUUUGAAAUUUACAUAUUAGGGGAACAAGUAAUUUACUUAUACUCCCUAAUUCCAUGGUUUUUGAUGUGUGACUUUAACCAUAAUUUAAACUAUAAUGACUUUAUAAAAUUCAAUAAGUUCAAGAGAUUAUGAAAGUGUUUUUGGGACAAAUCUACACAUAGCAUUUUUAUGUUUUAAAGAUAAGUAUUUCAAAAGUUAAUGACGGUUAAAGUUCCAAAGUUUGAUCAGGUCUUAUCAAAUUAAACAUCAAAUAAUGAUAACCGGAGCAAGUAUUUCAACACGUACUUCUCUUCACUUCUAAGCUCCAACGAAUCCGACAAGUUGGAAUCUACAAGGGUUGAAUCCUUUUUUGUUUAAAUUGCAGCAACCAAGGUCUUUUGAAUCCUUUCUUUUGUGCAUUGAGUUAUAGGUACUAUUUAGUUUACCUAAAAAGUUAAUGUGAAUUGCAAACUGAUGUAGAAGGCUAUAAUUUCUUUAUACUUCAACAACCACCACCAUCUUCUAUAGUGUGCAACCAGGAGUCUCAGUGGCAGCUAGGAUCAUAUCAUAUGAUUUUCGAUCCUUCUAGGAAGAAUCGCUGUCCAUAUUCAUGGACACCGAUUAGAAAUUCAUAGGUACUUUAUCUUAAAAGGGAUACUUUAGCAUACCAGACCCCCCCAUUUUGUCAUUCCAGUAGACUGUUAAAGGUAGUUUCUACCCAACUACCAGCUGAAAUUUUUUGCUGAUUUCUACCUAGUUUUGGAUUGUAGGAUCAUCUUGAUAGAGACACCUGCCGACUAUAGGAAGCACGGAGCAACCUCACUCGUUCUUCUACGCAUGAACUAAUAUGUUGAUCUGCUUUGGCACAGUGUCAGUGAACCAAUCAAAAGACAAAAACAGGGGAAUUCUUAGCAAUAAGAAGAGGUUGGGAAGAGGACUGAAGGGCAUGGUGCCGGAGAGAGAACUCCAGAGAGGGCAGCAUCAAGGUGAACGAGAAAGAAAGAGAAGUAGAGAAUGAAAUGGGGGAUGCAUUUGUGCUGUCAACUUGCAAAAAACAUGUCCAUGAUCCGAUUUGUAAUUUCGAGCUGUGCAAAUCUCCUAGCACCGAAAUUUUGUUCUGUUGUUACUAUUGGUAGUUAGUUUGGAGAAGUGUGACUAAGUUAGGUGUAGCCUUG
rnacentral:lncRNA from 1 species